GGGGCAGUCUUAAAUGCAGUCGAAACGGGCUCUAUUGAAACCUAGUGAUUUAUGAGUUAGUGGCGGACGGGUGAGUAACGCGUGGAAAACCUGCCGUAUACUGGGGGAUAACACUUAGAAAUAGGUGCUAAUACCGCAUAAGCGCACAGCUUCGCAUGAAGUGGUGUGAAAAACUCUGGUGGUAUACGAUGGUUCCGCGUCUGAUUAGCUUGUUGGCGGGGUAAUGGCUCACCAAGGCGACGAUCAGUAGCCGGCCUGAGAGGGUGAACGGCCACAUUGGGACUGAGACACGGCCCAAACUCCUACGGGAGGCAGCAGUGGGGAAUAUUGCACAAUGGGGGAAACCCUGAUGCAGCGACGCCGCGUGAGUGAAGAAGUAUUUCGGUAUGUAAAGCUCUAUCAGCAGGGAAGAAAAUGACGGUACCUGAUUAAGAAGCCCCGGCUAACUACGUGCCAGCAGCCGCGGUAAUACGUAGGGGGCAAGCGUUAUCCGGAUUUACUGGGUGUAAAGGGAGCGUAGACGGCAGCACAAGUCUGAAGUGAAAUGCCGGGGCUUAACCCCGGAACUGCUUUGGAAACUGUGCAGCUAGAGUGCAGGAGAGGUAAGUGGAAUUCCUAGUGUAGCGGUGAAAUGCGUAGAUAUUAGGAGGAACACCAGUGGCGAAGGCGGCUUACUGGACUGUAACUGACGUUGAGGCUCGAAAGCGUGGGGAGCAAACAGGAUUAGAUGCCCUGGUAGUCCACGCUGUANACGAUGAUUACUAGGUGUUGGGGGACCAGGGUCCUUCGGUGCCGUCGCAAACGCAUUAAGUAAUCCACCUGGGGAGUACGUUCGCAAGAAUGAAACUCAAAGGAAUUGACGGGGACCCGCACAAACGGUGGAGCAUGUGGUUUAAUUCA
rnacentral:rRNA from 1 species